rnacentral:rRNA from 1 species
AUUGAACGCCGGCGGAAUGCUUUACACAUGCAAGUCGAACGGCAGCACGGGGGCAGCCCUGGUGGCGAGUGGCGAACGGGUGAGUAAUACAUCGGAACGUGCCCGGUCGUGGGGGAUAACGUAGCGAAAGUUACGCUAAUACCGCAUACGAUCUGAGGAUGAAAGCGGGGGACCUUCGGGCCUCGCGCGAUCGGAGCGGCCGAUGUCAGAUUAGGUAGUUGGUGGGGUAAAGGCCUACCAAGCCGACGAUCUGCAGCUGGUCUGAGAGGACGACCAGCCACACUGGGACUGAGACACGGCCCAGACUCCUACGGGAGGCAGCAGUGGGGAAUUUUGGACAAUGGGCGCAAGCCUGAUCCAGCCAUUCCGCGUGCAGGACGAAGGCCUUCGGGUUGUAAACUGCUUUUGUACGGAACGAAAAGGCUCUGGCUAAUACCUGGGGCUCAUGACGGUACCGUAAGAAUAAGCACCGGCUAACUACGUG